rnacentral:lncRNA from 1 species
CUGGAACGCACAAACAAAACGCCGCUAUUCGGAUAUAACGAUGGAUUAUUUUGGACCAAACCAACAUUUGUUAUUGAAGUAGCAGUCCUGGGUGUGCAUUCUGACGAAGACAACAAAAGGCGUUAUGCAGUCUCAUUUUGAGGCUCCUGGAGUCGGGAGAGCUGUCUAAUCCUCCAGGCGUCCGAGGGGAGAAUGACAGGGAGAACGACGUAGGACCAGGGACUCUGGAGAGAGAAACAACCCCUGGGUCUGAUGCUGACAAUUCUGAGACAGGAGAGCAGAGGAGAGGAGCAGAGGAGAGCAGAGGAGCAGAGGAGAGGAGCAGAGGAAAUGAGCAGUGGAGAUGAGCAGAGGAGACAAGCAGAGGAGAUGAGCAGUGGAGAGGAACAGAGGAGGAAAGGAGCAGAGGCAUUGGCACAAACACCUACAUGUAACGCCAUGGGUGGUAGGACAGUAGUCUGCCCUGGAUCACACAAGGCCUCUGCAGCUGGCAGACCGAAGGACUACGAGGAAG